rnacentral:rRNA from 1 species
AAGACGUAGGGGGCGAGCGUUGCCCGGAUUCACUGGGCGUAAAAAACGUGCAGAAACCCGGGUAAGUCCCGUGUGAAAGCCCACGGCUCAACCGUGGGACGUCAAACGAAACUGCCCGGCUUGAGGGCAGCAGAGGGUGGUGGAAUUCCCGGUGUAAAACUGAAAUGCGUAGAGAUCGGGAGGAACGCCAGUGGCGAAGAAACCCACCUGGGCUGUCCCUGACGCUCAGACCCGAAAGCUGGGGGAGCGAACGGGAUUAGAUACCCCGGUAGUCCCAGCCCUAAACGAUGCUCACUAGGUGUCGGGGGGUCACUCCCUCGGUGCCGAAGCUAACGCAUUAAGUGAGCCGCCUGGGGAGUACGGCCGCAAGGCU